UUAUAUGUUUAAAAGAAAAAAUUGAAGAAGAAAUAUUAUUAUUAGGUUAUUUAAUUAAUAACUUUUGGAUGGAUUUUCGUCAUACAAGUUGAAUAAAAGCGUGGUAAUUCUAACAAAUAUGUUAAAUAUCUUUUAUUAUGUGAUUUAGGACAAAUAAAUAAUAAUUAUAUAUACCAGGUAACAGAACCUCAAUUAUACUCCUUAAUAUUAUAUGUAGUUUUAUUUUUAUUUAACACUCGACAAACGUUUAGCUUUAUGCAUUUUUUUUAUGUUUAAAUGUAUUUAAACUGCACAGAUUGCAGUAUGUAGUGUCACACAUGCUUUUUUAUGUACCAUUAGUCCCCCUUUUAUAUUUUAACCCCUUUGAAAGGGGUAAAGGGUAUCACCCCUUUACACAUAAAAAAGGGAUAGCUGUUAAAAAAGGGUGAUGCAGCUGGAAAAGUAUAGGCCUAUGUAUCUACAUGCAUUAUAUUUAAAUAAUUUGUUAUAUUACAUAUAGGUAAGUAUCUGAUGCAAUAGUCUAUAUUUUUAUAUUGCAUUUUGUGCUUUGCUGUAAUUAAAAAAUAUGUUAAUUAAGAUAAGAUCAUUAAUUGAUUGUUUAUUUUAGAUAACACUGCGUGGCAAUAUUUUUUCUUACUCGUAGUCAAAACUCAGCGAGCCACUCCCCUCAUCGGUGGGAUUUGGACACCGCUCAGGGCAUGCUCCGUAGUAUAGCCAAUCUUUACGCAGAGGAUACCGGUCUCUCUCUUAUACUCUUGGAGGACCUUCUUCUAGGGAUAGGGAGAUCAGUUCCCAUGAUUGGUCAGGGUAACGCAGUCUACCAACAGCUACGCUGCUGUUUGAAAGGGGUUGCUCAGUGCUCCGCUGUCUGUCGGUGACUUUGCAUCGCAGUGUAUCCUUUCAUCAAUCAGUCACCGCGCACUGUUGAAGUGAUUUUAGAUAAUAGGAGUUUAAUUGGAUUUAAGAUUAAAGAUUAAUUCUCCACCCCUUCGAUAUAAAAUGCUGCAGGGUAUCCCUUUUGUGGGUAAACCCUUUUUUAGGCACCCCUUUUGUAAGAUACCCCUUUUUGCGAGUAUCUUUUUUUUACUUUUGGAUACUACUUUUUGAGACAGUUUUUACCUGUUCUAUAUUGAACAAGAAAUAUUGUCAUUUUUUUUUUCAUAAAUGUCUAUACAAUGUAGAAUGAAUAAAUUCUCCUGGUUUAAAGGGGUGUGUGCUAGAGUUAAAAAACGUGAAUCAAGUUCAGCUUUAUUCUCAUUCGUUGCUAGAGGCUUUACAAGGGGUGGAGCUUACUUUCCCUUCCACUUUGCAUCCGAUAUGAGAAGAAACUAAAGGGUAGGCAGUCUUACGUUGAAGUUGUAUGAAAGAGGGUAGUUUGCUGAAAUGGCAGCAUCGUUAUUUUCAUUUAAAAUACACCUGUUAUUUAAUAGUAUACGAAAUAGUAUUUGAAAUAA
rnacentral:lncRNA from 1 species